AGAGUUUGAUCCUGGCUCAGGAUGAACGCUAGCGGCAGGCUUAAUACAUGCAAGUCGAGGGGCAGCGCGGGUAGCAAUACCUGGCGGCGACCGGCAAACGGGUGCGGAACACGUACGCAACCUUCCCAUAACUGGUGAAUAGCCUUUCGAAAGAGAGAUUAAUACACCGUAACAUAACGAAGAGGCAUCUCUUUGUUAUUAUAGGCUUCGGCCGGUUUUGGAUGGGCGUGCGCCUGAUUAGGUAGUUGGCGGGGUAACGGCCCACCAAGCCUGCGAUCAGUAACUGGUGUGAGAGCACGACCAGUCACACGGGCACUGAGACACGGGCCCGACUCCUACGGGAGGCAGCAGUAAGGAAUAUUGGUCAAUGGACGCAAGUCUGAACCAGCCAUGCCGCGUGAAGGAUGAAGGUCCUCUGGAUUGUAAACUUCUUUUAUCUGGGACGAAAAAAGCUCAUUCUUGAGCACUUGACGGUACCAGAGGAAUAAGCACCGGCUAACUCCGUGCCAGCAGCCGCGGUAAUACGGAGGGUGCAAGCGUUAUCCGGAUUUACUGGGUUUAAAGGGUGCGUAGGUGGGUUGGUAAGUCAGUGGUGAAAUCUUCGAGCUUAACUCGGAAACUGCCAUUGAUACUAUCAAUCUUGAAUAUCCUGGAGGUAAGCGGAAUAUGUCAUGUAGCGGUGAAAUGCUUAGAUAUGACAUAGAACACCCAUUGCGAAGGCAGCUUACUACGGGAUUAUUGACACUGAGGCACGAAAGCGUGGGGAUCAAACAGGAUUAGAUACCCUGGUAGUCCACGC
rnacentral:rRNA from 1 species